rnacentral:rRNA from 1 species
UCAUUGGAGAGUUUGAUCCUGGCUCAGGACGAACGCUGGCGGCGUGCCUAACACAUGCAAGUCGAACGGGACCAGGGGCAACUCUGGUUCAGUGGCG